rnacentral:rRNA from 1 species
CCUACGGGAGGCAGCAGUCGAGAAUCAUUCACAAUGGGGGAAACCCUGAUGGUGCGACGCCGCGUGGGGGAAUGACGUUCUUCGGAUUGUAAACCCCUGUCAUGUGGGGGCAAAUUACAAAGCUCGUACCACAAGAGGUAGAUACUGCUAACUCUGUGCCAGCGGCCGCGGUAAUACAGAGGUCUCAAGCGUUGUUCGUAAUCACUGGGCGUAAGGCGUGCGUAGGCUGGUUCGUACGUCGGGUGUGAAAGGCGGGGGCUCAACCCGCGGACGGCACAUGAUACUGGGAGACUAGGGUAAGGUAGAGGGAAAGGGAAUUCUUGGUGGAGCAGUGAAAUGCUUAGAUAUCGAGAGGAACAUCGGUGGCGAAGGCGGGUUACUGGACCGUAAUUGACGCUGAGGAACGAAGGCCAGGGGAGCGAAUGGGAUUAGAUACCCCUGUAGUC